CCAACGAUGAAACGGUGGGUCUACGGAAAUUC
rnacentral:sRNA from 1 species